AGCUCCAAUAGCGUAUAUUAAAGUUGUUGCAGUUAAAAAGCUCGUAGUUGGAUUUCUGACAGGAGCGACCGGUCUCGAAUCCUUCGUGGUUCGUGUUUACUUUGUGUCCGUCUCUAGUCAUCCUUACGGAGAACGUGUGUGUCAUUAAGUUGGCGUGCAUGGGAACCGUAUCGUUUACUGUGAAAAAAUUAGAGUGUUUAAAGCAGGCAAUCGCUGUGAAUACAUUAGCAUGGAAUAAUAAGAUAGGGCUUUGGUACUAUUUUGUUGGUUUGUAUACCAAGGUAAUGAUUAAGAGGGACAGUUGGGGGUAUUCGUAUUUAAUUGUCAGAGGUGAAAUUCUUGGAUUUAUGAAAGACGAACUACUGCGAAAGCAUUUACCAAGGAUGUUUUCAUUA
rnacentral:rRNA from 1 species